UACAGAGGGUGCGAGCGUUAAUCGGAGUUACUGGGCGUAAAGGGCGCGUAGGCGGUUAAAUAAAUUGGAUGUGAAAUCCCCGGGCUUAACCUGGGAAUGGCAUCCAAGACUGUUUGACUGGAGUAUUGUAGAGGGUAGUGGAAUUUCCGGUGUAGCGGUGAAAUGCGUAGAGAUCGGAAGGAACAUCAGUGGCGAAGGCGGCUACCUGGACAAAUACUGACGCUGAGGCGCGAAAGCGUGGGGAGCAAACAGGAUUAGAUACCCUGGUAGUCCACGCUGUAAACGAUGAGAACUAGAUGUUGGGCAGCUUGACUGUUUAGUAUCGAAGCAAACGCGAUAAGUUCUCCGCCUGGGGAGUACGGCCGCAAGGUUAAA
rnacentral:rRNA from 1 species